rnacentral:lncRNA from 1 species
CUUGCCCACCUCCUUCCCUUUGUCAGAAAAACCCUCAUGGCCCACAUUCUGUCCAGGAAUCUGUCUCUAAGAUCAGCCCAUGGGCUGUGGUCAGCUGCACCCCUCCAGUAAGGACCCCUUUGGGUGCCCAUCUGAGCCACCAAAAAUGAUGCGUGAUUUUCGCUGGGAAUUUGACUCCUUCAGUUCUUGGCACUGUGAAGGACUGCGUGGCAGGGAGACGAUGCAUAAAGAUGAGGUGGCAGGGAGACGGCACCUUUAUGGCUCCUUCUGCAGACCCAGUGUUCACCAAAGGAAAGGUUUAAGGGUCAUUAACUAGUCACAAGUCUCAGAAGCAGAGACCAAGACAGAUAAGAAGGUGCAAGGAGAGAAGGAUUGGAUGUGGGAAAUCCUGACCCUCAACUAAGUAUUGAUUAAGUAAAGCCUUAAGAAUUCUUCCAAUA